GGUGGCUCGGCAAAGGGCACGGCUUGCCUUCAGCGCGAUUGACAAUAUAUGGCAGCCAUCUUUGAUGUGGGCAAAGUACUCAGCUGCACGCUGAGCCGUCCUUCCCCUGCGAGACAGCCUAGGGCUGAGGCCGCGGCGGGCGGGCUUGGUUUCCAUGAUGGUGGCCGCCCGGCUGAGGCGACGGCUCCUGCUGUUGAAGAGGCGUCAAGCCGCGGCGGCGGCCCGGUUGCUGGGCAUCCUGUGGCUGGCGUGUGUCGCCGCGGAGGGCGUUGCCGGCGGGGAGCCUCCGCUCAAGUGCGACGAGCUGAGGCUGGGGCAAUAUAUUUGUGAAGAUCCCAAAAUAGACAAUAGCACACAAGAACCACUGAAUUGUACAAAUCAGACAGCAUACGUUCCAUGUCAUCCAGCACCAAAUAUUACUUGUAAGGAUCACAGUGGCAAUGAAAACAACUUUACUGGAAAGGAAGUUGGAUUUUACAAACCUAUUGCAUGUCGUAAUGUAAAUGGUUACUCAUACAAAGUGGCAGUGGCUCUGUCUUUAUUUCUUGGAUGGUUGGGAGCAGAUAGAUUUUAUCUUGGGUAUCCUGCCUUAGGUUUGUUAAAGUUCUGCACUGUAGGAUUUUGUGGAAUUGGUAGCCUAAUUGAUUUCAUUCUCAUUUCAAUGCAGAUUGUUGGACCUUCUGAUGGCUCUAGUUACAUUAUAGAUUACUAUGGAGCAAGGCUUACCAGGCUGAGUAUUACCAAUGAGACAUUCAGAAAAACACAGAUGUAUCCUUAAGUCUGGCAGGAAGUAUCAUGUACACGCAGCUUCAUUUAGUCCAUUUCUGGAUCCACUGCCCUUCCUGUUGCUUCUGCUGCAAUUUCUAUCACUAUUCUAUACACACAAUGAUGUUGGGAACAUUACAGUUGUGUGCUUAAACACUCAAUUGGGGAAAUGUCAAAGAUAAGGUUGCACAGGCAAUGAGACCUCUUUCAAAUCCCUUGCAUUUACUGAGAGGAAGACAUACAGAAAACAUGUAAUGGGAAGCCACUGUCUACUAAGGACCUGACUGAUACCAACGUCUGUGUGACUGACUGUCCCUACAUAGUCUGAAGAGAGCAGGACUACCCCAUUGUAUGGCAAUAGCAGAAGCCGGGAAAAGGAGGAAUCUCUUUUUAUCUUUUAGGGCUGUCAUUUCAUGAUCUCAUCCAUUGUAGCCCUAUUAAGAGGAUGAUGUGCACCACUUUUCAGUUAUUUUGUUAAAUAAGCAUGAGCAAUGAACAUCAUGCUAACAGACAAUUCCUAGUAUCUAAUACGAUAUCUUGAAUUUAAAAGCAUGUGGUAAUGUAAGUGUAUAUCUGGGAAGUAUGGGGGCUGGGAUGAAAAGUGACUGACUUGACAUUUGCUGACUUUCUCCCAGCUCCUUUGCAAAAGUAGGAACAGAAUCAGAAUAAAAAAUGUUUGUUUUACAGCUGUACCAAGUUACAGCACACUCUCUCUCCUCCUUCCCACUUGCAUCAAGUACAUCCUGUACUUUUGGCAACAUGUUGACUGGAUAUUUAAAAGCUGUGAACUGUUCUGAAAGUUUCACAUACAAGGUUAUGAGCCAUGUGUGUUUGAUCAAAAUUCAAUUACUGCACUGUACCAUGCUUGGAAACCUAUCAUCCCAGGUUAUGAAGUAUGACGAAAUAGGCUAAUCUAAUUGGUUCAGUAUGGGAGCAGUAUCAACCAAGCUUGUUAUGAUAAAUAGCUUCCUGUGUUAAAGGUUCUCUAGAGCUUAAGUAUCUUGGCUCACCUCCUUCCACAAAAUAAGAAUAUUGUUCCCUGAGAACAGUUACAUCACUGUCCCUCUUCUACAAUCAGAAUAAAGGGGUUGUAGAAUUUUUCAUUUUGUUACUUCUUGAAAAUAUAAACAAUGGAUGGAUAUCUGCCCCAUUUCCCACCUUCCCACUUCUACCUCUUCUCUCCUCACUGCCCCCUCCCCUCCUCCAGCCAAGACUAGAUCAUCUUGUACUCACCCUGGUUGUUGGAUCUGUUUUACUACUCUUUGAGACAAUCCCAAAGAGGGCAUUAAACUUGCCAUGGGCUGGAGUUUGGGAGUUGUAUGGUUUUGUAUUUGGGGGAGUAGAAUUAAAUGGUGAAGCAUAUUAAUAUUUUCAAUCAUCUAAUAAAACUGCCUUGUCACAAUGAAUUGUAUAUCUGUGGAAAUGUUGCUAUCCACUUAGAAUUUUUAUUUUAGUAGUACCGGUAGUUUAAGUCCAUUGUGCAAGUGCUGAAAUAAGAGUAAAGAUGGGCUAGUGUUCUAAGCCGGGAUUUGUGAUUGCUAAAUGUGUCCCUGAAACAAUGAGCUCAGUCCCAUGAGAAGGCACUAGCUCCAUGGUUUUAGCAGGCCCAUCUUUGGCAAUAACUGAUUGUCUGUGAUCCUGAUGUCAGAGUAAUAGACGGUGACAAGGGAUAGAACAUGGAAAAAUGGAUCUUUAUGCUCUCUGGCCACAUGUGUGUUAUCAUGCAUAGGGUGACGAUUUGAGUGAGGUUACAACUACUCAUACUCUCAGAUCCCCUUAGGACAAAAUGAUUGUCUGGUUGCUAUUUUAGCUUAAGCAGAAUACGGUCCGGAUCUUUUUAAACACUUUUAAUAUUAGUGGGACUACUCCCAUGAGUAAAGUUAUUCACAUGCAUAAGUUUUGCGUGAGUGAUUCUUGGUGUUUUCCCCAAGAGUGCUUAAAACCUGAUUAAAUCUGUAUGGUGAUUAAUGUCCACUUACCACCUCUCUCAUACCCCAUUGCAAUUUGGUUUUAAGCUUUGAUCUCAUUUUAGUUCACCAUUUAAAUAUCCUGCUUAACCUUCUGCUUACAAAUGUACAUAAUGCUGAAGUCUGCAUUUCCAGCGUGUAUGAGAUCUACCGCAAAUAAUGGCAUUUAAUUAUAAAAAGCAACAACUUCAGUCACCACAAGAUCGGCUGAUGACUAAGUCCAGCAAUACAAAAUUGGGGAGUGCAGAAUUCACCACAACAGACAAAUAUUCGUGUCCACAUAAGAUAAUAAAUAUGCCUUUCCUAUUCUCCUUAGCACUUUCAAACCCAGAUUUAAUCAAUUCUUUAUUUUACAGUGUUUGUUUUCAUUAUUUUUCUUUAAAAAUGCAAUUAGUCUAAAAAUUGAGAUUCAGUAUAAUUCUCCUCAAAUAUCUCAGAUGAGAGUAAUCCAUUUUAUCUUCGUAAAGUUCCCACAAGAAAUGCUCACAGAGACAGUAGCUUUAACUUCAAAAAUAGAAUGUGACUGUAGGCACUUAUGUUAAUCUCUUUUUUGGCAAAUCAGCUUUUUUGUAUUGGAUCUCGCUUGAUUGAAUAGCACUGGAGCUGCCAGAGUAAAUGCUAUUAUCAGUGUACAGUAAUUAAGGAAAUAGUCCUUGUCACUCUAACAGUGUCCAGGCUGUGUCUACUCUAACAAAGUUAAUGGUAAAGAAAUCUCUUUAAAGAGUAAGCUACUGGAGUGUGGUUACUUUUGACAUGCGGUGAAACUAUGCAGUGUUGAAUUAUAGGUUAUGAGAAAAUGUAUAAAAUAGGCCAAUUGAAACCUAAAUGCAUGCUGAACUGUAAUACAUAAUUACACAACAAAUUAAACAGUUAAACUAC